GAGGUGCUAUACUGCAGUCGAGCGGACAGAUGGGAGCUUGCUCCCUGAUGUUAGCGGCGGACGGGUGAGUAACACGUGGGUAACCUGCCUGUAAGACUGGGAUAACUCCGGGAAACCGGGGCUAAUACCGGAUGGUUGUUUGAACCGCAUGGUUCAGACAUAAAAGGUGGCUUCGGCUACCACUUACAGAUGGACCCGCGGCGCAUUAGCUAGUUGGUGAGGUAACGGCUCACCAAGGCGACGAUGCGUAGCCGACCUGAGAGGGUGAUCGGCCACACUGGGACUGAGACACGGCCCAGACUCCUACGGGAGGCAGCAGUAGGGAAUCUUCCGCAAUGGACGAAAGUCUGACGGAGCAACGCCGCGUGAGUGAUGAAGGUUUUCGGAUCGUAAAGCUCUGUUGUUAGGGAAGAACAAGUGCCGUUCAAAUAGGGCGGCACCUUGACGGUACCUAACCAGAAAGCCACGGCUAACUACGUGCCAGCAGCCGCGGUAAUACGUAGGUGGCAAGCGUUGUCCGGAAUUAUUGGGCGUAAAGGGCUCGCAGGCGGUUUCUUAAGUCUGAUGUGAAAGCCCCCGGCUCAACCGGGGAGGGUCAUUGGAAACUGGGGAACUUGAGUGCAGAAGAGGAGAGUGGAAUUCCACGUGUAGCGGUGAAAUGCGUAGAGAUGUGGAGGAACACCAGUGGCGAAGGCGACUCUCUGGUCUGUAACUGACGCUGAGGAGCGAAAGCGUGGGGAGCGAACAGGAUUAGAUACCCUGGUAGUCCACGCCGUAAACGAUGAGUGCUAAGUGUUAGGGGGUUUCCGCCCCUUAGUGCUGCAGCUAACGCAUUAAGCACUCCGCCUGGGGAGUACGGUCGCAAGACUGAAACUCAAAGGAAUUGACGGGGGCCCGCACAAGCGGUGGAGCAUGUGGUUUAAUUCGAAGCAACGCGAAGAACCUUACCAGGUCUUGACAUCCUCUGACAAUCCUAGAGAUAGGACGUCCCCUUCGGGGGCAGAGUGACAGGUGGUGCAUGGUUGUCGUCAGCUCGUGUCGUGAGAUGUUGGGUUAAGUCCCGCAACGAGCGCAACCCUUGAUCUUAGUUGCCAGCAUUCAGUUGGGCACUCUAAGGUGACUGCCGGUGACAAACCGGAGGAAAGGGGGGGAUGACGUCAAAUCAUCAUGCCCCUUUUGACUGGGUUACACCGGGCUAAAUGGAGGGGACAUGCGG
rnacentral:rRNA from 1 species